AUUUCUUUGCGUCUAAAAAUGUUUUGAGAGUUUUUUUGCCACGACUGCACCCUGAGACAAAGUCAGUGUUUGUCACAACGUUCACGUUGAACCUGGCAGGAAGACAGGCUGAGCCACGAAAGGUGGAUGGCUGGACCCGGAUUUGGGCACAAUUGUAACCCUAAGAUGGGUAACGGGGACUCAAUUGUUGGAAUGGUAUUGAAACCUUCCCUGGAACACUUGUGCAUUUCUCGCAAGAAUAUAAAAUGAUGUAGCUGCCUUUUGAAACUGUUUGGCAUCUAAUCAACUAAACAGAGUCACUACUGUAUGGCCCAGGAACCCCACUCCUGGGUAUUUAUCUAAAGGAAUAAAAACCUUGACUCCCCACAAAAAUCUCUACACAACUGUUUAUAAAAGAAUUGUAACAGUAGCUCCAAAUCGACUUUGAAUAAAGAAAAUGUGGUCUACUUUUACAAUGGACUGUCACUUCAAAACAGGAAUGAAGUAUGGAUUCCCGAACUGCCAUCAGAGAGACCUUGGAUAGAUUGCACUCUGUGAAAGAAGUGGACUCAGAAGGUCACGCACUGUCUAAUCUGCCUUAUGUGAAAGGUCCAGAAUAGGCAACUCUGCAGAUGCAGGAAGCAGGAAGCUGUGCCAGACCUGGGGGGAAGGUGUGAGAAGGAAGUGAAGUGAGUGUGAAUUGGCUGCUGCUGCUUUGGAAGUGACCAAGAUGUUCUGGAAUAGUGAUGACAUCUAAGCCCUGGAAUGAAUCAAAGCCCACCAGGGUGAAUUUUAUGGCCUGAGAAUUUCAUCUCAAUAAAACAUUUUUGUUUGUU
ensembl:antisense Plet1os placenta expressed transcript 1, opposite strand